GCGAACGGGUGAGUAACGCGUAGGAAUCUGCCUGGUAGUGGGGGACAACGUUCCGAAAGGGACGCUAAUACCGCAUACGCCCUACGGGGGAAAGUGGGGGACCUUCGGGCCUCACGCUAUCAGAGGAGCCUGCGUCGGAUUAGCUAGUUGGUGGGGUAAAGGCUCACCAAGGCGACGAUCCGUAACUGGUCUGAGAGGAUGAUCAGUCACACCGGAACUGAGACACGGUCCGGACUCCUACGGGAGGCAGCAGUGGGGAAUAUUGGACAAUGGGGGCAACCCUGAUCCAGCCAUGCCGCGUGUGUGAAGAAGGCCUUUUGGUUGUAAAGCACUUUAAGCAGGGAGGAGAGGCUAAUGGUUAAUACCCAUUAGAUUAGACGUUACCUGCAGAAUAAGCACCGGCUAACUCUGUGCCAGCAGCCGCGGUAAUACAGAGGGUGCGAGCGUUAAUCGGAAUUACUGGGCGUAAAGCGAGUGUAGGUGGCUCAUUAAGUCACAUGUGAAAUCCCCGGGCUUAACCUGGGAACUGCAUGUGAUACUGGUGGUGCUAGAAUAUGUGAGAGGGAAGUAGAAUUCCAGGUGUAGCGGUGAAAUGCGUAGAGAUCUGGAGGAAUACCGAUGGCGAAGGCAGCUUCCUGGCAUAAUAUUGACACUGAGAUUCGAAAGCGUGGGUAGCAAACAGGAUUAGAUACCCUGGUAGUCCACGCCGUAAACGAUGUCUACUAGCCGUUGGGGUCCUUGAGACUUUAGUGGCGCAGUUAACGCGAUAAGUAGACCGCCUGGGGAGUACGGCCGCAAGGUUAAAACUCAAAUGAAUUGACGGGGGCCCGCACAAGCG
rnacentral:rRNA from 1 species